GCGGCUGUUUAAAAAAAAAAAAACUUGGUGGAGGGGAGGGGGCUGUUGAAGAAGCAGCCGCCGGGGAGUUUCUGCGGCCUACCUCCCGGCCAUGGCGGCGGUAAAGCCGCGUCCCUGACGAGGGUCCCGGGCAGGAGGACCCUUCCCUCCAGCAGCUUUACCUCAGGAGCCCGCUCCCCGCCUUGUCACCUGUCAGCCAAGAACACCUGUCCCCUCACGGCGGCCCUCCUCCAUGCUCCGCUGAGAGCUCUGUGUCUGUCUGCAAAGGCCAUGGAGAAGAGUUUGGAAAUCAGUUUCAGCAUCAGCUUUUUGAAUCCACUGGUGUUCUUCUUUAGAAAAUCUGUCAAGUGUCUGGGCCAUCUUCCUCUAAUCUACAUAUUUAUCUGCCUCAGUGCCAUCUCUUUCUGCACAGAAGGAAGCUGGAGCAGAAGUGCUUGCCAGUCUGCAAAGCCUUUGGAAGAAGGCAAUUUGAGGUCAUCAGAUAGUGUCCAACUCCAGCUGCUAGAAGGAUUGCACUCUAUCCACUCUUGUCAAGCUGCUUGUUGUCAAACCCCAGCCUGUGAUGCAUUUUGGCUUAUGGGGACUAUCUGCAUCCAGGUGAACUGUACUAAGUCUCACAAGUGUCAGGAGAUCAGAACUGACAUGAUGGACCCCAUCAUGGUCUUUGUAACAAAAUCUGAUCUUGAUGGAGAUUCCCAGCCUGCCAAAGAGAGGCAAGCCCAUCUUCCCAAAUGGUUGAACUGGAAGGAGAGACAUCAGAGUAAAUCAAGGAUACAGAGAUCCUUCAAAGAGCUGCCUGCUCACACAUUGCAUUUAGGAAAUGUCAGGGGAAAUUCUCUAAAGCGAGAUGUGGACUCCAGUGUUGGAAGCUCUAUAAACGAUCCAGCUCCAUCAGAUGCCUUGGAUAGAAUAUCUACUCACAAGGAUCUUACAGAACCGCAGUCUUCAAGACCAGAAGCAAACCUUUCAGGAAACCAUACUGAAGUAGAAAAAAUCCUCCUGCCAAAUUAUAAGGAUUCAAAAGAACUGAAACUCCAAAUCCCAUCUUCUUCCAACAGUGAUCACAUUAACAGAGAGCAUGAUCUUGGUGGGAGUGGCUCCUUGGGGGCCCCUACAGGAGUUUCUACCCCCUAUCCCUCUUCAGCAACUAUCUUCCCCAGUCCUGUUGGGAACUCUGAGAAAACCAGACCAUCCAACAAUGUUUCCAUCCAGACCUUCUCUUUAGAAAAAGCCAUCCCAACUUCUAACAGUCUUCUGGGAAAAGAUUUGGGGAAGUUACCACAAGUUAUCCCUGUUCCAACUGGCAUUCCCAUCAAUAGUAGUGUUGCUGCAGUUCUGACGGAGCCUGCUAUGGUACCUAGUACUCCUGCCCCAACACCAGUUAUUAAGAAAUUGGCAGUUUCUGCUGGAGACAGUGUCCAGGUGACCCUGCCGAAAAAUGAAGUGGAACUGAAUGCAUAUGUCCUACCUCCACCACCUAAAGGAAGUAGCUAUUCCUAUGAUUGGAGAUUGAUUACACACCCAAAGGAUUAUAGUGGAGAGAUGGAAGGACAGCAUUCUCAGAUUCUCAAAUUGUCCAAGCUUACAGUUGGUCUAUAUGAAUUCAAUGUGAUAGUAGAUGGCGAUAACGCACACGGAGAAGGGAUGGUGAAUGUGACAGUUAAACCAGAGCCUCGAGUAAAUCAGCCACCUGUGGCCAUUGUGUCACCCCCAUUUCUGGAGAUCUCUCUUCCAACCACCUCAACAGUCAUUGAUGGCAGCCAAAGUACUGAUGAUGACAAAAUAGUCAGCUAUCACUGGGAAGAACUAAAGGGGCCUCUUCGAGAAGAGAAGGUAUCUGCUGAUACAGAUAUUCUGGAACUGACCAACCUGGUACCAGGAAAUUACACAUUCCGCCUCACUGUGGUGGAUUCUGAUGGGGCUAGCAACUCCACCACUGCUAGCCUUACAGUAAACAAAGCGGUGGAUUACCCCCCUGUGGCAAAUGCGGGCCCUAACCAAGUGAUCACUCUGCCUCAAAAUUCCAUCACCCUUUACGGAAAUCAGAGCACAGAUGACCAUGGCAUCGUCAGCUACGAAUGGUCCCUCAGUCCCAACAGCAAAGUGAAGGUAGCAGAAAUGCAGGGGGUAAGGACUUCAACUCUGCAGCUCUCAGCCAUGCGUGAAGGUGACUACACCUAUCAACUGACAGUGACAGAUUCUGCUGGCCAUCAGUCCACUGCUGAGGUCACUGUGAUUGUACAACCUGAAAACAAUAAGCCUCCCAGGGCAGAUGCCGGUCCAGACAAAGAACUCAUCCUACCAGUGGACAGCACCACUCUGGAUGGCAGCAAGAGCUCAGAUGACCAGAAGAUUGUCUCCUUCCUUUGGGAGAAAACACAGGGCCCAGAUGGUGUGAAACUGGAAAAUGCCAACAGCAGCAUAGCCACAGUCUCUGGGCUUAAAGUAGGAAUGUACAAAUUCACACUAACAGUUAAAGAUGAACGGAACUUACAAGGACAAAGUUCAGUUACUGUCAUUGUGAAAGAAGAGAUAAAUCAGCCUCCUGUGGCAAAAAUUGUGGGCAACAGUGUCACCAUCACUCUCCCUACAAACACUGCAGAGCUUGAUGGGUCCCAAUCUAUGGAUGACAAAGGAAUUGUCACCUUCCUGUGGACUCGGGAUGAGAGCAGCCCUGCAGCAGGGGAGGUGCUAAAUAAUUCGGAUCAUCAUCCCAUUCUGUUUCUCUCCAACCUGGUGGAGGGAACGUACACCUUCCAUCUGAAAGUGACUGAUGCCAAAGGGGAGAGUGAUGUAGACCGAGCCACUGUGGAAGUAAAAGCUGAUCCUAGGAAGAGCAACCUGGUGGAAAUGAUCCUAGAUGUGAACGUCAGCCACCUGACAGAGCGGCAGAAGGGCAUGUUCAUCCGUCAGAUCGGGGUUCUGCUUGGGGUCCUGGAUUCAGACAUCACAGUUCAGAAGAUCCAGGCUUACACUGAGAAGAGCACAAAGUUGGUGUUCUAUGUGCGGAAUCAGCCUCCUCACCAGAUCUUCAAAGGACGCGAUGUUGCAUGGACCCUCAAGAGUGAAUUGCGGAAGCAGCAAUCAGAUUUCCUUAUCUUCCGUGCACUGGAGAUCAAUACAGUCACCUGCCAGCUCAACUGUUCAGAUCACGGCCUCUGCGACUCUUUCACCAAGCGUUGCAUUUGUGAUCCUUUUUGGAUGGAGAACUUCAUCAAAGUGCAAAUUGGUGAUGGUGAAAGCAAUUGUGAAUGGAGUGUGCUCUACGUCGUGAUUGCAUCCUUUGUGAUUCUGGUCUCCCUUGGGAUCUUCUCUUGGGUGGUGGUCUGCUGCUGCAAAAAGAAAAAAGGAAAACCCAAAAGGAAGAGUAAGUAUAAGAUCUUGGAUGCCACGGAUCAAGAGAGCCUGGAGCUGAAGCCAAAUUCCAAAGCAGGCAGCAAGCAGAAAUCCCAGGCACAGAAUACCAGUCUGAUGCAUUCGGAGUCUGAACUGGACAGCGACGAAGCCAUCUUCACUUGGCCUGACCGGGAGAAGGGAAAACUCCUCCACGGCCAGAAUGGCUUUCUGAGAAAUGGGCAGGUGAUACUGAAGCCAAAAACCCAGCGAGAAGAGAUUCUAUAGCGACAGGCCUGUGUCACAAAGAGUUGGCAAAUGAUACAAAAGACCACUCUCUUAAUCCUCGGUUGCACGAGGAACCUUGGGAGUAUACCACUGUUUGGAGAGUCCUUCUCUCUUUGCCGAUAAUCUCUAAGAAAAUGUUGAGUCAAACUGCCAGUACUUGAAUUUGGACUCAAAAGGGAAAUUUAAUUUUGGCAAAAGAAGCUGUGAAACAAAGACUAUGAAGGGUAGGUGAGGUUCUGAAAACAAUGCAGAACUUCCCAGCCACUCCUGUGAAAAGGCAUCUAUUUGCGUAGGGCUGCAGUACAGAUCCGAGGCUACUCAUGCAAGCAUUUGUUUGCUACAGAGUUGGCAACCUUCUUCACACACUCUUCUGUAUUGUUUGUGAGAACACACUCUGUAGUUGGUCUUGAAAGCUGAGAUGCCUUGAACUAUAUUCCCCGCCCCCCCCAACCAAUUCACUCCUAGGAAAACUUUCCUGAUUCACCAUCAUUUAUGAGCUUCAUUUUCCAGAAAUGGAAGAAGCCAAGCAUUGUCUCCAUGGCAAGUGAAGAAACUGCAUUUUGACUAGGAUGGUAAAUUCCCCUUUUAAGUUUUUGCCCGUGGUGAGAAUUGAGAUGGAGCCUCCAGAUCACUGGUUGCUCUGGCUCUUUUCCUCCACACACUGCAUCAACCCUGAAAGUUUUUCUCACUGGUAGUCAGUCACACUGUAAAACAACAGGCUCCUUUGCCUGUGAAAAAUACUGAUGUGUCGUCUUGCAAAAAAAAAACAAAAAACCCACCUUUGCACAAGUGGAAAAUGAGGAAGAAGAAGAUCAAAAGACAAAUGUAGACAAAUGGAUUCCAAUACUGCCCAGUAGAUCAAUGCCUCCUCCUCUCCUAUUGCACCACCUCUUUAUUGUUGUUCAUCCCAUGCACAUUGUGUGCUUCCCAAUGAAAAUGUUGGUUAUCCCAUGUCAGAAACACCCCCCCCCUUUUUUUUUUUUACCUAGAGCAAAUGCAGGCAUCUCCACUAACAGCUCAUUUGGUGGAAAUCACAAGUUACCAAGCAAUGUGAACCAGCUCCCUUUCCUUCUUCUAAGAUGAUGGAAAAUGCUUCCUAGUUUCAUUAGGGGUGUUAGAGGUGGAAUUCUUGAAUUUGAGGGUUCCCUGAAAAUGAACAACCUUGUCCUAGGUGAAGGAAGGUUCUUGGGUGUUCUACUUCCAGCAGACCAAAGGUUGGAAUGGGGUCUAAGUUGCCAUGGGGAUGUUCACAGGAGGAAUAUUUUGCUUCCUCACCAAGCACAGAGAAAUUCCUGGAUAGUACUGGAGAAUCGAGGACUUUCAGGGGUCUGGACAUAAAAAAUCUCUGUCCAGAACAAAUACCUCUUCAAAGGUCAAGGUCUUUUGAUCCCUAGAGCCCACGUGGACAGCUGCAGACAUAAAUUAUUCUUGAGGAAAAGGAGCGAUAUAUGAUGAUAGAAGCCUCUUUGAGUGGUUUCUUUUCCUUUAUUGUACUGAAAUGUACUUCAUUUUAGGUCAAUGUGAAUAAGAGCCAGUUUGGUGUGGUGGUUAAGGAGACUCUGAGUUCUGGUCCCACCUUAAGGCAUGAUAGCUGGCUGGGUGACUUUGGACCAAUCAGUUACCAAUACAUGUCAUAAUAUUGUGGAGAAAAAAGGAGGAGGAAGGAGUGUUAGGUAUGUUCAUUGCCUUGCGUUAUUUAUAAAGCAAUAAAGGUGAGAUAAACAGCUAAUAAACAAUCAUAUUAGCUCUCAGUGCCCAUUUGCUGAAAAUGAUGACAUUUCCGACCACCCUAAUGCUUCUGAAAGUUGGGUGUCUUUCAUAACAAGAAGCAAAUUCUGUGCAGGUUCUGUAGUGAUGUUCCAAAUGUAACCGAUGAAGAAAAUGGAACAAGCCCCUGCCCUGUGAGUCAAGACUGGUGGGCAGGAAGGUUCUGAAGCGCGUUUGGGGACUCUGAGAAGAACACAUUACUUGGAGGCUGGACAAUUUAUAUUCAUGAGCAGUAGGCUUUGGCUAUGAAUAAAGAUGGGUUUGAACUUCAUGUACAAAUAAAAUUAGCAUAGAUUUUACACAGGGAGUUGACAUAUGCAAUCUUAAAACAAACCUAAGCAGGUCUUAGUUGGUACCCAGGUGGCAAACCACAAUUCCAGGACAACUCACUGGACUGGAUGAGGCAGUGGGAGAAUACCUUUAAAUUACAUUCCAUCCCUUUAGAUGUGUUCAUAAAGUCACAGGAACUGAGCUUGACUCAGAGGAGUCUUUAGUUUUAUUGUAUGCGAGUGGGGAAUAGCUCCUAAGUGAAUGGAUGGGUGGGGGAGAUGACUCUAGAUCAGGGGUGUCAAACUCGCCUUGUCAUGGCGUCAUCACGUGACAUUGCAACUUUUUUCCCCUUUGCUAAACCGGGCAUGGGUGUGGCCAGCACAUGAGGCAUCUGGGCUGUGGGCUGUGAGUUUGACACCCCUGCUCUAGAUGAUCUACUAAGUGCAGGGGUGUUGGCACAGGGCUCAAGGUGGCAGCCACAACCAACUAGAGGGUCACAGCCAGUGUAAAAAUGAUGAGGCUCCAGUCACAUGAUUGAGCCCACCGUCUUGAUUUCUUGGACACCCACAUUGAUAUCCUGAAUAAAUAUAACUGGGUCUUUCA